CCGCGGUAAUACGUAGGUGGCAAGCGUUGUCCGGAAUUAUUGGGCGUAAAGCGCGCGCAGGCGGUCCUUUAAGUCUGAUGUGAAAGCCCACGGCUCAACCGUGGAAGGUCAUUGGAAACUGGGGGACUUGAGUGCAGGAGAGGAAAGUGGAAUUCCACGUGUAGCGGUGAAAUGCGUAGAGAUGUGGAGGACCACCAGUGGCGAAGGCGACUUUCUGGCCUGUAACUGACGCUGAGGCGCGAAAGCGUGGGGAGCAAACAGGAUUAGAUACCCUGGUAGUCCACGCCGUAAACGAUGAGUGCUAAGUGUUAGGGGGUUUCCGCCCCUUAGUGCUGCAGCUAACGCAUUAAGCACUCCGCCUGGGGAGUACG
rnacentral:rRNA from 1 species